AUAACAAUAUUUUCAAGAAAAUUACCUGCAAUGACUUCGCCAACUCAGAAACUUUCAACCCAUGAAUUCCUUGCUCUAGCAGAACUCUAAACAAUUCCCUUCUAAAGUACCAGGACGUAAACCAUACUUCACAAUAAGGCUCAUUUCCUAGAAGAUUCAAUUUGAAAAACCAAAUUUCACAUUUAUAGAUAGGUUUAUACAACAAC
rnacentral:lncRNA from 1 species